rnacentral:rRNA from 1 species
UUCUAUAAGAACUAAUUUAUAGUAAAACCUGCUCAAUGUAGAAAUAAAUAGCCGCAGAUCAACUGUGCUAAGGUAGCAUAAUCACUUGCUUCUUAAUUAGAAGAUAGAAUGAAAGGUUAAACAUUUAAAAUUUGUCUCUUAGAAUAAAAGUGAACUUAGAGUUAAAGUAAAAAUCCUUUUAUAAUAUAGUAGGACGAUAAGACCCCGACAAACUAUAUCUUUUAGUUGGGGAAACAAUGUAACUACGAUUUAUCUAACUAACUUUACACAACUAAAAAAUUAAAUAUCGCCUAGUUACUACGGGGAUAACAGCGCUAUUUCUUUUAAGAGACCUUAUCAAAAAAGAAGUUUACGACCUCGAUGUUGAAUUAGGUGCCCCAAUAUAAAGCAAAAUUUUAUUAGGGUGGUCUGUUCGACCAAUAAAAACCU